rnacentral:rRNA from 1 species
UUUAAAGAGAGUUUGAUCCUGGCUCAGGACGAACGCUGGCGGCGUGCCUAAUACAUGCAAGUCGAACGAACGGAGGAAGAGCUUGCUCUUCCGAAGUUAGUGGCGGACGGGUGAGUAACACGUGGGCAACCUGCCUGUAAGUUGGGGAUAACUCCGGGAAACCGGGGCUAAUACCGAAUGAUAAAGUGUGGCGCAUGCCACGC